rnacentral:ncRNA from 1 species
ACAGGUGUGAGGAAAUUAGAAAAACAUCUGGAGUCGAAACAAGGAAAGACGCCCCAGGUGUUUUUUUAU